UUUCUUCUUCUCCUUCCUUUCUUUCUUUCUUUUCUUCUUGGGGAGGUGAAAUGGAAGAAGGAAGACAAGAGUGAGAUGCAUCAAAGAUGAGCGACCCACAGAUCCGACACACAUCUCGACUUUGUUCUUCUUUUUGAAUAAA
rnacentral:ribozyme from 13 species